rnacentral:rRNA from 1 species
UACGUAGGGGCAAGCGUUGUCCGGAAUCAUUGGGCGUAAAGAGCGCGUAGGCGGUCCGGUAAGUCCGCUGUGAAAGUCAAGGGCUCAACCCUUGAAUGCCGGUGGAUACUGCCGGGCUAGAGUCCGGAAGAGGCGAGUGGAAUUCCUGGUGUAGCGGUGAAAUGCGCAGAUAUCAGGAGGAACACCGGUGGCGAAGGCGGAUCUCUGGGCCGUGUCCUGACGCUGGAGGCGCGAAAGCUAGGGGAGCGAACAGG